rnacentral:tRNA from 1 species
CGCGGGGUAGUGUAGUAGUAGCAUACGAGGCCCAUAACCUUGAGACCCGGGUGCAAUUCCCGGCCCCGCAA